AAGAUAUGGCAGCAGAAGAUGGCAUUACAGAGAGUGAAAUCAAAAUAUCAAACAGUCAAGUUGAAGGAACACAAGAAAGCACAGAGGAUGAUUCAGCUUUAGUUUACUCAAUAGUGAGAAAAAAACCUGGCAGUUAUGGACAAACAACCAUCAGCCCAAAGACGACCGCAGAGUCAGACGUUAUCUACGCUUCAGUGAAGUGAUGCGAAAUUGAAAACUACUUUGGAUGGACAUCAUCAGCCACCAGUCCAACCACUGAUGCACACUGCUCGUCUCUAACUGCUCCCUGCAGCACCUCAGACCACAGUACCUCCACUUGAUUUUCACAUGUUUCCUGUGUUUUUGUCACUUAGAAAACCACAUCGUAUUUUCAAAAUUGUUUCUUCCUCCAUAAUCUUCAGGAACAAUAUAAAUAAUAUAAACAAUAUAAACAAUAUAAAUAUUUAGAUAUGU